rnacentral:rRNA from 1 species
CCUACGGGUGGCAGCAGUGAGGAAUAUUGGUCAAUGGCCGGAAGGCUGAACCAGCCAUGCCGCGUGAAGGUCAGUGCCCUAUGGGCGUUAAACUUCUUUUGUGCGGGAGCAAUAAUGGUCACGUGUGGCCAGACGAGAGUACCGUACGAAUAAGCAUCGGCUAACCCCGUGCCAGCAGCCGCGGUAAUACGGGGGAUGCAAGGGUUAUCCGGAUUUAUUGGGUUUAAAGGGUGCGUAGGCUGGGAGGUAAGUCAGCGGUGAAAUGCCCCCGCUCAACGGGGUGAAGUGCCAUUGAUACUGCCUUGCUGGAAUGCGGAUGCCGUGGGAGGAAUGUGUGGUGUAGCGGUGGAAUGCAUAGAUAUCACACAGAACACCGAUUGCGAAGGCAUCUCACGAAUCCGCGAUUGACGCUGAUGCACGAAAGCGUGGGUAUCAAACAGGAUUAGAUACCCGAGUAGUC